rnacentral:rRNA from 1 species
UACAGGGGGGGCAAGCGUUGUUCGGAAUUACUGGGCGUAAAGGGCUCGUAGGCGGCCAACUAAGUCCGACGUGAAAUCCCCAAGCUUAACUUGGGAACUGCGUCUGAUACUGGAAGGCUUGAGGAUGGGAGAGGGAUGUAGAAUUCCAGGUGUAGCGGUGAAAUGCGUAGAUAUCUGGAGGAAUACCGGUGGCGAAGGCGGCAUCCUGGACCAUUACUGACGCUGAGGCGCGAAAGCUAGGGGAGCAAACGGGG